rnacentral:rRNA from 1 species
CACGUAGGGCGCAAGCGUUGUCCGGAAUUAUUGGGCGUAAAGAGCUCGUAGGCGGUCUGUUGCGUCUGCUGUGAAAACCCGGGGCUUAACCCCUGGCUUGCAGUGGAUACGGACAGACUAGAGGUAGGUAGGGGAGAAUGGAAUUCCCGGUGUAGCGGUGAAAUGCGCAGAUAUCGGGAGGAACACCGGUGGCGAAGGCGGUUCUCUGGGCCUUACCUGACGCUGAGGAGCGAAGGCGUGGGGAGCGAACAGG